CCGCCAUCACAUCUAGGAAGUGAGGAGCGUCUCUGCCCGGCCGCCCAUCGUCUGAGAUGUGGGGAGCGCCUCUGCCCCGCUGCCCCAUCUGGGAUGUGAGGAGCGCCUCUGCCCGGCCGAGACCCCGUCUGGGAGGUGAGGAGCGUCUCUGCCCGGCCGCCCCGUCUGAGAAGUGAGGAGACCCUCUGUCUGGCAACCACCCCGUCUGAGAAGUGAGGAGCCCCUCCGCCCGGCAGCUGCCCCGUCUGAGAAGGGAGGAGCCUCUCCGCCCGGCAGCCACCCCAUCUGGGAAGUGAGGAGCGUCUCCGCCCGGCAGCCACCCCGUCCGGCAGGGAGGUGGGGGGGGGGUCAGCCUCCCGCCCGGCCAGCCGCCCCAUCCGGGAGGGAGGUGGGGGGGUCAGCCCCCCGCCUGGCCAGCCGUGCCGUCCGGGAGGGAGGUGGGGGGGUCAGCCCCCCGCCCGGCCAGCCGCCCCGUCCGGGAGGUGGUGGGGGUCAGCCCCCGCACCCGGCCAGCCGCCCCGUCCGGGAGGUGAGGGGCGCCUCUGCCCGGCCGCCCCUACUGGGAAGUGAGGAGCCCCUCUGCCCGGC
rnacentral:lncRNA from 1 species